UACGUAGGGUGCAAGCGUUGUCCGGAUUUACUGGGCGUAAAGAGCGCGCAGGCGGUCGUUCAAGUCGCGUGUGAAAGCCCCCGGCUCAACUGGGGAGGGUCACGCGAUACUGAUCGACUCGAAGGCAGGAGAGGGGAAGUGGAAUUCCCGUGUAGUGGUGGUAAUGCGUAGAUAUCGGGAGGAACACCAGUGGCGAAGGCGACUUCCUGGCCGCUGUU
rnacentral:rRNA from 1 species